GACGAACGCUGGCGGCGUGCCUAAUACAUGCAAGUAGAACGCUGAAGGAGGAGCUUGCUCUUCUUGGAUGAGUUGCGAACGGGUGAGUAACGCGUAGGUAACCUGCCUGGUAGCGGGGGAUAACUAUUGGAAACGAUAGCUAAUACCGCAUAAUAGUAGAUGUUGCAUGACAUUUGCUUAAAAGGUGCAAUUGCAUCACUACCAGAUGGACCUGCGUUGUAUUAGCUAGUUGGUGAGGUAACGGCUCACCAAGGCAACGAUACAUAGCCGACCUGAGAGGGUGAUCGGCCACACUGGGACUGAGACACGGCCCAGACUCCUACGGGAGGCAGCAGUAGGGAAUCUUCGGCAAUGGACGGAAGUCUGACCGAGCAACGCCGCGUGAGUGAAGAAGGUUUUCGGAUCGUAAAGCUCUGUUGUAAGAGAAGAACGAGUGUGAGAGUGGAAAGUUCACACUGUGACGGUAGCUUACCAGAAAGGGACGGCUAACUACGUG
rnacentral:rRNA from 1 species